ACUCAAUGACCACGUCCAUUGGCGAAAAGUUCCUCCACCAAAUUGCUCAUGAGAUCUGGGAAGGUACGAGACGCACUUACUCCAAUCAGGCCAACAAAGCAGAGGCCUUCGAUGUGGAGAUGCUCUCCAUGAUCUCAAGCAGGGGGAGAAAUCAGUCACUCAAUAUUAUGACGAACUGAGUAAGUGCUGGCUACAGCAGG
rnacentral:lncRNA from 1 species